rnacentral:rRNA from 1 species
GAUGAACGCUGGCGGCGUGCCUAAUACAUGCAAGUCGAGCGAACAGACGAGGAGCUUGCUCCUUCGACGUUAGCGGCGGACGGGUGAGUAACACGUAGGUAACCUACCUAUAAGACUGGGAUAACUUCGGGAAACCGGAGCUAAUACCGGAUAAUAUUUCGAACCGCAUGGUUCGAUAGUGAAAGAUGGCUUUGCUAUCACUUAUAGAUGGACCUGCGCCGUAUUAGCUAGUUGGUAAGGUAACGGCUUACCAAGGCAACGAUACGUAGCCGACCUGAGAGGGUGAUCGGCCACACUGGAACUGAGCCACGGUCCCGACUCCUACGGGAGGCAGCAGUAGGGAAUCUUCCGCAAUGGGCGAAAGCCUGACGGAGCAACGCCGCGUGAGUGAUGAAGGUCUUCGGAUCGUAAAACUCUGUUAUUAGGGAAGAACAACCGUGUAAGUAACUGUGCACGUCUUGACGGUACCUAAUCAGAAAGCCACGGCUAACUACGUG